AGAGUUUGAUCAUGGCUCAGGACGAACGCUGGCGGCGUGCCUAACACAUGCAAGUCACGGGGGCCCGCAAGGGUAACCGGCGAACGGGUGCGUAACACGUGAGCAAUCUGCCGAUUUCUGGGGGAUAGCCGGUCCAACGACCGGGUAAUACCGCAUACGCUCAUUGGGGGGCAUUCCCCGAUGAGGAAACCUCCGGGGGAAAUCGAGGAGCUCGCGGCCUAUCAGCUAGUUGGUGAGGUAACGGCUCACCAAGGCGACGACGGGUAGCUGGUCUGAGAGGAUGGCCAGCCACAUUGGGACUGCGACACGGCCCAGACUCCUACGGGAGGCAGCA
rnacentral:rRNA from 1 species